rnacentral:rRNA from 1 species
UGGCGGGAGGGUGAGUAUGUCUGGGAACUGCCUGAUGGGAGGGGAUAACUACUGGAAACGGUAGCUAAUACCGCAUAACGUCGCAAGACCAAAGAGGGGGACCUUCGGGCCUCUUGCCAUCGGAUGUGCCCAGAUGGGAUUAGCUAGUAGGUGGGGUAACGGCUCACCUAGGCGACGAUCCCUAGCUGGUCUGAGAGGAUGACCAGCCACACUGGAACUGAGACACGGUCCAG